CGCGGCCUCCCUCUCCCGGCGGCCCCUGGCUCGCGCCGUUCCGGGCCCGUGCCGGCCGGCUGGCUGCCUGCUGCCUUCUGGCGGGGCGGCCCGGCCCGGCCUGCGGCUCGCUCCGCUGCCUCUGUGCUCCCGAAGCGGGGUACUGCGCGGGGGGGCGGUGCGCGGCGCUCCGCCCGGCGGUGGUCUGCUCGGAAGCGGCGCUCCGCAUUCGCAUUUAUGAGCGGUUGGGCUAAUGUUUAAUUUUGCUCACCCUCUGUCUGUUGUGCCUCUGUGACCUUUGUACCGAAGGUGAGAAAACUGACACUGCAAAAGGGGAUGCUGCGCUCAGAGGAGCGUGCUUAUGUGUUCUGGGCGUCAGGGUGAGGGGGCUCUCCGGUAGUGUAACAGCAGCUGAAGCAGUCCUGAGCGUCUGGCACAAAAGUUUUUAUCUGAAUUCUAAGUGGGAAGGAGCUGUGAACGCUGUGGUGAAAUCCUGUUUCUGUGUUGCUGCAAGACUUGCCCUCUCUGCGCCCAGGGGAGUGUGUCUUGAUCUCAAGAGCCAUUCCUUUAUCUCUUCGAGAACUGGCAGCCACCCUCUUCGGGCUAAGCUGAAUUACUUUGCUUACCAUUCCACUACUGGAACGUCUUCAGAAUUUUCUCCCACUGUCCUUGCAUUCCACUGCAAUCUUUGGGACAAAAGGGACAUUGGGAGGAAGUAAACCACCCCCAAGGACUAACAAUGGACCAUCACUAUGCUGGAAGGACUCCAGAUGACAUGGAAGAUCGCCAAGUAAGGCCAUGUCUGCUAGGCAGUCAUUGGGGGUGGAUAGGAUAAUGAAUUUGGGAAUGUCAUGAAUAUGUAAUACAUGUGAAUAUAUAACCUGUUCACGAAUGAUCAACUGGUGGAGCAUUCUUGGAGGGUUAUCUCGAUGCUACCCCAGCACUGCCAAUAAAGAAUACCUUGCUGAAUGGUAACAAAA